UACAGAGGUCCCGAGCGUUGUUCGGAUUCAUUGGGCGUAAAGGGUGCGUAGGCGGCGGGGCAAGUCUGAUGUGAAAUCCCGGGGCUCAACCCCGGAACUGCAUUGGAUACUGCCUUGCUUGAGUACUGGAGAGGGAACUGGAAUUUACGGUGUAGCAGUGAAAUGCGUAGAGAUCGGGAGGAACACCAGAGGCGAAGGCGGCGACCUGGACAGUGACUGACACUCAACUGCGAAAGCGUGGGGAGCAAACAGG
rnacentral:rRNA from 1 species